rnacentral:rRNA from 1 species
GAGUUUUGAUCAUGGCUCAGAACGAACGCUGGCGGCAUGCCUAACACAUGCAAGUCGAACGGGAUCCGAGGCUUCGGCCUGGUGAGAGUGGCGGACGGGUGAGUAACGCGUGGGAACCUGCCCAAUGGUCUGGGAUAACCGCGGGAAACUGCGGCUAAUACCGGAUAAGCCCGAGAGGGGAAAGAUUUAUCGCCGAUGGAGGGGCCCGCGUCCGAUUAGGUAGUUGGUGAGGUAACGGCUCACCAAGCCCUACGAUCGGUAGCUGGUCUGAGAGGAUGAUCAGCCACACUGGGACUGAGAUACGGCCCAGACUCCUACGGGAGGCAGCAGUGGGAAUAUUGGACAAUGGGGGCAACCCUGAUCCAGCAAUGCCGCGUGAGUGA